rnacentral:rRNA from 1 species
AUUGAACGCUGGCGGCAGGCCUAACACAUGCAAGUCGAACGAGUGGCGGACGGGAGAGUAAUGUCGGGGAAACUGCCUGAUGGAGGGGUAAAAAUACUGGAAAGGGUCGCUAAUACCGCAUAACCACAGAUGCGCCCGGAUGGGAUGGGCUUGUUGGUGGGGUAACGGCUCACCAAGGCGACGAUCCCUAGCUGGUCUGAGAGGAUGACCAGCCACACUGGAACUGAGACACGGUCCAGACUCCUACGGUAGGCAGCAGUGGGGAAUAUUGCACAAUGGGCGAAAGCCUGAUGCAGCCAUGCCGCGUGUGUGAAGAAGGCCUUCGGGUUGUAAAGUACUUUCAGCGGGGAGGCGUUACCCGCAGAAGAAGCACCGGCUAACUCCGUGCCAGCAGCCGCGGUAAUAC